rnacentral:rRNA from 1 species
GAUGAACGCUGGCGGCGUGCCUAAUACAUGCAAGUCGAGCGAAUGGAUUAAGAGCUUGCUCUUAUGAAGUUAGCGGCGGACGGGUGAGUAACACGUGGGUAACCUGCCCAUAAGACUGGGAUAACUCCGGGAAACCGGGGCUAAUACCGGAUAACAUUUUGAACCGCAUGGUUCGAAAUUGAAAGGCGGCUUCGGCUGUCACUUAUGGAUGGACCUGCGUCGCAUUAGCUAGUUGGUGAGGUAACGGCUCACCAAGGCAACGAUGCGUAGCCGAGCUGAGAGGGUGAUCGGCCACAAUGGGACUGAGACACGGCCCAGACUCAUACGGGAGGCAGCAGUAGGGAAUCUUCCGCAAUGGACGAAAGUCUGACGGAGCAACGCCGCGUGAGUGAUGAAGGCUUUCGGGUCGUAAAACUCUGUUGUUAGGGAAGAACAAGUGCUAGUUGAAUAAGCUGGCACCUUGACGGUACCUAACCAGAAAGCCACGGCUAACUACGUGCCAGCCGCCGCCGUAA